rnacentral:rRNA from 1 species
UGCAGUCGAGCGCAGGAGUUAUCUGAUCCUCUUUUAGAGGUGACGAUAAUGGAAUGAGCGGCGGACGGGUGAGUAACACGUAGGCAACCUGCCUGUAAGACUGGGAUAACUCGUGGAAACGCGAGCUAAUACCGGAUAACACUUUUCAUCUCCUGAUGAUAAGUUGAAAGGCGGCUUUUGCUGUCACUUACAGAUGGGCCUGCGGCGCAUUAGCUAGUUGGUAAGGUAAUGGCUUACCAAGGCGACGAUGCGUAGCCGACCUGAGAGGGUGAUCGGCCACACUGGGACUGAGACACGGCCCAGACUCCUACGGGAGGCAGCAGUAGGGAAUCUUCCGCAAUGGACGAAAGUCUGACGGAGCAACGCCGCGUGAGUGAUGAAGGUUUUCGGAUCGUAAAACUCUGUUGUUAGGGAAGAACAAGUGCCAUAGUAACUGAUGGCACCUUGACGGUACCUAACCAGAAAGCCACGGCUAACUACGUGCCAGCAGCCGCGGUAAUACGUAGGUGGCAAGCGUUGUCCGGAAUUAUUGAGCGU